AGGCCUCAGGACAAUAUCGGA
rnacentral:misc_RNA from 1 species